rnacentral:pre_miRNA from 1 species
UAAGUACUCCCUCCGUUCGGAAUUACUUGUCACAAAAAUAGAUGUAUCUACAAUUAAAAUACAUCUAGAUACAUUCAUUUCUUGGACGAGUAAUUCUGAACGGAGGGAGUAGCUG